rnacentral:rRNA from 1 species
GGCUGAACCAGCAAUUUGGAAGAAUGUAUAGCAAUAGNUAAUUGUAUAAUAUUAUACUAUACAAUAUCNNNUACGUNGAAUAAAAUUCUGGGUAUAUUUAGAUAAUGACUUGAUAUANUCAUGUGUCUUGACCAAAAUACGUGCCAGCAGUCGCGGUAAGACGUANAAGACUAGUGUUAUUCAUCAUGAGUGGGNUUAAAGGGUACUUAGACGGUAAAUAAAGCCUAAUGGGGACUAAUUUACUAGAGUUACUUAUGAUGGGGCUUNAAAGUACUAAUGGANNNNNGNUAAAAUGNUAGUAUACCUUUUNUNNNNNNNNNNNNNUGGCACUGGUAAAGGCGAAGGCAUCCCCUUAUGNGAUAACUGACGUUGAAGGACGAAGGCUUUGGGUCGCGAACAGGAUUAGAUACCCUGGUAGUCAAAGCAGAAAAUUAUGAGUGUCAUAGAUUGGAAUAAGUUUAAUCUAUAAACGAAAGUGUAAGCACUCCACCUUAAGAGUAAUGUGGCAACACUGAAAUUGAAAUCAUUAGACCGUUUCUGAGACCAGUAGUGAAGUAUGUUGUUUAAUUUGAUGAUCCGCAAAAAACCUUACCACAACUUGAAUAUUUAUAGUUAACCAUAUUUACAAGCGUUGCACGGCUGUCUUAAGUUAAUGUCGUGAGACUUUGGUUAGAUCCAUUAAAUUAACGUAAACCCUCGUUCUACUUUUAUAUAGAACGGUUCACCGUUACAUUGGAAAUGAUAAAAGGGAACAAGACAAGUCAUCAUGGCCUUAAUGUUGUGGGCUAUAGACGUGCCACAU